rnacentral:rRNA from 1 species
CCUACGGGAGGCAGCAGUGGGGAAUAUUGGACAAUGGGGGAAACCCUGAUCCAGCGACGCCGCGUGAGUGAAGAAGUAUUUCGGUACGUAAAGCUCUAUCAGCAGGAAAGAAAAUGACGGUACCUGACUAAGAAGCCCCGGCUAACUACGUGCCAGCAGCCGCGGUAAUACGUAGGGGGCAAGCGUUAUCCGGAUUUACUGGGUGGAAAGGGAGCGUAGACGGCAGCGCAAGUCUGGAGUGAAAUGCCGGGGCCCAACCCCGGAACUGCUCUGGAAACGGGGAAGCUGGAGUGCAGGGGAGGGUAGGCGGAUUCCGGGUGGAGCGGUGGAAUGCGUAGAUAACAGGAGGAACACCGGGGGCGGAGGCGGCUUACUGGACUGUAACUGGCGUUGAGGCUCGAAGGCGUGGGGAGCAAACAGGAUUAGAUACCCGUGUAGUC